GAUGAACGCUGGCGGCGUGCUUAACACAUGCAAGUCGAACGAUGAAGCCCAGCUUGCUGGGUGGAUUAGUGGCGAACGGGUGAGUAACACGUGAGUAACCUGCCCUUGACUCUAGGAUAAGCCCGGGAGACUGGGUCUAAUACUGGAUAGGACAGACUACCGAAGGGUGGGUGUUGGAAAGAAUUUCGGUCUUGGAUGGACGAGCGGCCUAUCACCUUGUUGGUGAGGUAAUGGCUCACCAAGUGGCCGAGGGGUAGUCGGCCUUGGAGGGGGACCGGCCACACUGGGACUGAGAGACGGCCCAGUGUCCUACGGGGGGCAACAGUGGGGAAUAUUGCACAAUGGGCGAAAGCCUGAUGCAGCGACGCUGCGUUAGGAAUGACGGCCUUCUGGUUGUAAACCUCUUUCAGUAGGGAAGAAGCGAAAGUGACGGUACCUGCAGAAGAAGCACCGGCUAACUACGUG
rnacentral:rRNA from 1 species